UGGGGAAUUUUGGACAAUGGGGGAAACCCUGAUCCAGCCAUCCCGCGUGUGCGAUGAAGGCCUUCGGGUUGUAAAGCACUUUUGGCAGGAAAGAAACGUCAUGGGUUAAUACCCCGUGAAACUGACGGUACCUGCAGAAUAAGCACCGGCUAACUACGUGCCAGCAGUCGCGGUAAUACGUAGGGUGCAAGCGUUAAUCGGAAUUACUGGGCGUAAAGCGUGCGCAGGCGGUUCGGAAAGAAAGAUGUGAAAUCCCAGAGCUCAACUUUGGAACUGCAUUUUUAACUACCGGGCUAGAGUGUGUCAGAGGGAGGUGGAAUUCCGCGUGUAGCAGUGAAAUGCGUAGAUAUGCGGAGGAACACCGAUGGCGAAGGCAGCCUCCUGGGAUAACACUGACGCUCAUGCACGAAAGCGUGGGGAGCAAACAGG
rnacentral:rRNA from 1 species